UACGAAGGGGGCUAGCGUUGUUCGGAAUUACUGGGCGUAAAGCGCACGUAGGCGGACUAUUAAGUCAGGGGUGAAAUCCCGGGGCUCAACCCCGGAACUGCCUUUGAUACUGCUAGUCUCGAGUCCGGAAGAGGUGAGUGGAAUUCCGAGUGUAGAGGUGAAAUUCGUAGAUAUUCGGAGGAACACCAGUGGCGAAGGCGGCUCACUGGUCCGGUACUGACGCUGAGGUGCGAAAGCGUGGGGAGCAAACAGG
rnacentral:rRNA from 1 species